rnacentral:rRNA from 1 species
AACGCGAAGAACCUUACCAGGUCUUGACAUCCCGAUGACCGCUUCAGAGAUGGAGCUUCUCUUCGGAGCAUUGGAGACAGGUGGUGCAUGGUUGUCGUCAGCUCGUGUCGUGAGAUGUUGGGUUAAGUCCCGCAACGAGCGCAACCCUCGUCCUGUGUUACCAGCAUUUAGUUGGGGACUCACAGGAGACUGCCGGGGUCAACUCGGAGGAAGGUGGGGAUGACGUCAAAUCAUCAUGCCCCUUAUGUCUUGGGCUGCACGCAUGCUACAAUGGCCGGUACAAAGGGCUGCGAUACCGUAAGGUGGAGCGAAUCCCAAAAAGCCGGUCUCAGUUCGGAUUGAGGUCUGCAACUCGACCUCAUGAAGUCGGAGUUGCUAGUAAUCGUAGAUCAGCAACGCUACGGUGAAUACGUUCCCGGGUCUUGUACACACCG